rnacentral:rRNA from 1 species
AACGAACGCUGGCGGCAGGCUUAACACAUGCAAGUCGAACGCCCCGCAAGGGGAGUGGCAGACGGGUGAGUAACGCGUGGGAACAUACCCUUUUCUACGGAAUAGCUCUGGGAAACUGGAAUUAAUACCGUAUACGCCCUACGGGGGAAAGAUUUAUCGGGGAAGGAUUGGCCCGCGUUGGAAGAGCUAGUUGGUGGGGUAAAGGCCUACCAAGGCGACGAUCCAUAGCUGGUCUGAGAGGAUGAUCAGCCACAUUGGGACUGAGACACGGCCCAAACUCCUACGGGAGGCAGCAGUGGGGAAUAUUGGACAAUGGGCGCAAGCUUGAUCCAGCCAUGCCGCGUGAGUGAUGAAGGCCUUAGGGUUGUAAAGCUCUUUCACCGAUGAAGAUAAUGACGGUAGUCGGAGAAGAAGCCCCGGCUAACUUCGUGCCAGCCGCCGCUGUAAUAC